AUUGAACGCUGGCGGCAGGCUUAACACAUGCAAGUCGAGCGAGGGGCGGACGGGUGAGUAAUGUGUGGGAAAAUGCCUGGUGGAGGGGGAUAACUACUGGAAAAGGUAGCUAAUACAGCAUACCAUGAGAGGGGGCGAGAUGGGAAUAGCUAGGAGGUGGGGUAAUGGCUCACCUAGGCGACGAUCCCUAGCGGGUCUGAGAGGAUGACCCGGCACCCUGGAACUGUGACACGGUCCAGACUCCUACGGGAGGCAGCAGUGGGGAAUAUUGCACAAAGGGCGCAAGCCUGAUGCAGCCAUGCCGCGUGAGUGAUGACGGCCUUCGGGUUGUAAAGCUCGUUAAUCGGGACGACGGUACCGGAAUAGAAAGCCACGGCUAACUACGUGCCAGCAGCCGCGGUAAUAC
rnacentral:rRNA from 1 species